UCCUCUCUCCCAACCUCUGGUCGGGGCGUUGGAUCGAGUUGUGGUCCGUCCGCAACUGGUCUCAAAGACAAUGACGGCGUCCGUGGGACCCUCUUCGCAACGAGUCUUUCGAGGCACGCGGGGAGUUGCAAGGUCUCGUCGGGUCGGUCGACACCUUUAUUUUUUCUA
rnacentral:misc_RNA from 1 species